UACAGAGGGUGCGAGCGUUAAUCGGAAUUACUGGGCGUAAAGCGCGCGUAGGCGGCUUUGCAAGCCGGAUGUGAAAUCCCCGGGCUUAACCUGGGAACUGCAUUCGGGACUGCAUUGCUAGAGUAUGGGAGAGGGAAGUGGAAUUUCAGGUGUAGCGGUGAAAUGCGUAGAUAUUGGGAGGAACACCAGUGGCGAAGGCGGCUCGCUGGACCGGUUCUGACGCUGAUGCGCGAAAGCGUGGGGAGCAAACGGG
rnacentral:rRNA from 1 species